rnacentral:rRNA from 1 species
AAUCAACGCUGGCGGCGUGCCUAACACAUGCAAGUCGCGCGCGAAAAGGGGGGGUAAACUCCCCGACGUAGAGCGGCGAACGGGUGAGUAACGCGUGGGUGAUCUGCCUCCGAGUGGGGAACAACAGCGGGAAACUGCUGCUAAUUCCGCAUGACAUCUCCGGGUCACACCGGAGAUCAAAGCUGGGGACCGCAAGGCCUAGCGCUUGGAGAGGAGCCCGCGUCCGAUUAGCAGUUGGCGGGGUAACGG